rnacentral:rRNA from 1 species
GGUUAAGCGACUAAGCGUACACGGUGGAUGCCCUGGCAGUCAGAGGCGAUGAAGGACGUGCUAAUCUGCGAAAAGCGUCGGUAAGGUGAUAUGAACCGUUACAGCCGGCGAUGUCCGAAUGGGGAAACCCAGUGCAAUUCGUUGCACUAUCGUUAACUGAAUACAUAGGUUAACGAGGCGAACCGGGGGAACUGAAACAUCUAAGUACCCCGAGGAAAAGAAAUCAACCGAGAUUCCCCCAGUAGCGGCGAGCGAACGGGGAGCAGCCCAGAGUCUGAAUCAGCUUGUGUGUUAGUGGAACGGUCUGGAAAGUCCGACGGUACAGGGUGAUAGUCCCGUACACCAAAAUGCACAGGUUGUGAACUCGAAGAGUAGGGCGGGACACGUGGUAUCCUGUCUGAAUAUGGGGGGACCAUCCUCCAAGGCUAAAUACUCCUGACUGACCGAUAGUGAACCAGUACCGUGAGGGAAAGGCGAAAAGAACCCCGGCGAGGGGAGUGAAAAAGAACCUGAAACCGUGUACGUACAAGCAGUGGGAGCACCUUCGGGUGUGACUGCGUACCUUUUGUAUAAUGGGUCAGCGACUUAUAUUCUGUAGCAAGGUUAACCGUAUAGGGGAGCCGCAGGGAAACCGAGUCUUAACUGGGCGUUAAGUUGCAGGGUAUAGACCCGAAACCCGGUGAUCUAGCCAUGGGCAGGUUGAAGGUUGGGUAACACUAACUGGAGGACCGAACCGACUAAUGUUGAAAAAUUAGCGGAUGACUUGUGGCUGGGGGUGAAAGGCCAAUCAAACCGGGAGAUAGCUGGUUCUCCCCGAAAGCUAUUUAGGUAGCGCCUCGUGAAUUCAUCUUCGGGGGUAGAGCACUGUUUCGGCUAGGGGGUCAUCCCGACUUACCAACCCGAUGCAAACUACGAAUACCGAAGAAUGUUAUCACGGGAGACACACGGCGGGUGCUAACGUCCGUCGUGAAGAGGGAAACAACCCAGACCGCCAGCUAAGGUCCCAAAGUCAUGGUUAAGUGGGAAACGAUGUGGGAAGGCACAGACAGCCAGGAUGUUGGCUUAGAAGCAGCCAUCAUUUAAAGAAAGCGUAAUAGCUCACUGGUCGAGUCGGCCUGCGCGGAAGAUGUAACGGGGCUAAACCAUGCACCGAAGCUGCGGCAGCGACACUAUGUGUUGUUGGGUAGGGGAGCGUUCUGUAAGCCUGCGAAGGUGACCUGUGAGGGUUGCUGGAGGUAUCAGAAGUGCGAAUGCUGACAUAAGUAACGAUAAAGCGGGUGAAAAGCCCGCUCGCCGGAAGACCAAGGGUUCCUGUCCAACGUUAAUCGGGGCAGGGUGAGUCGACCCCUAAGGCGAGGCCGAAAGGCGUAGUCGAUGGGAAACAGGUUAAUAUUCCUGUACUUGGUGUUACUGCGAAGGGGGGACGGAGAAGGCUAUGUUAGCCGGGCGACGGUUGUCCCGGUUUAAGCAUGUAGGCUGGUUAUCCAGGCAAAUCCGGAUAAUCAAGGCUGAGGUGUGAUGACGAGGCACUACGGUGCUGAAGUAACAAAUGCCCUGCUUCCAGGAAAAGCCUCUAAGCAUCAGGUAACAUCAAAUCGUACCCCAAACCGACACAGGUGGUCAGGUAGAGAAUACCAAGGCGCUUGAGAGAACUCGGGUGAAGGAACUAGGCAAAAUGGUGCCGUAACUUCGGGAGAAGGCACGCUGGUGUGUAGGUGAAGCCCCUGCGGGUGGAGCUGAGACCAGUCGAAGAUACCAGCUGGCUGCAACUGUUUAUUAAAAACACAGCACUGUGCAAACACGAAAGUGGACGUAUACGGUGUGACGCCUGCCCGGUGCCGGAAGGUUAAUUGAUGGGGUUAUCCGUAAGGAGAAGCUCUUGAUCGAAGCCCCGGUAAACGGCGGCCGUAACUAUAACGGUCCUAAGGUAGCGAAAUUCCUUGUCGGGUAAGUUCCGACCUGCACGAAUGGCGUAAUGAUGGCCAGGCUGUCUCCACCCGAGACUCAGUGAAAUUGAACUCGCUGUGAAGAUGCAGUGUACCCGCGGCAAGACGGAAAGACCCCGUGAACCUUUACUAUAGCUUGACACUGAACAUUGAGCCUUGAUGUGUAGGAUAGGUGGGAGGCUUUGAAGCGUGGACGCCAGUCUGCGUGGAGCCAACCUUGAAAUACCACCCUUUAAUGUUUGAUGUUCUAACGUUGGCCCCUUACCGGGGUUGCGGACAGUGUCUGGUGGGUAGUUUGACUGGGGCGGUCUCCUCCCAAAGCGUAACGGAGGAGCACGAAGGUUAGCUAAUCCUGGUCGGACAUCAGGAGGUUAGUGCAAUGGCAUAAGCUAGCUUGACUGCGAGCGUGACGGCGCGAGCAGGUGCGAAAGCAGGUCAUAGUGAUCCGGUGGUUCUGAAUGGAAGGGCCAUCGCUCAACGGAUAAAAGGUACUCCGGGGAUAACAGGCUGAUACCGCCCAAGAGUUCAUAUCGACGGCGGUGUUUGGCACCUCGAUGUCGGCUCAUCACAUCCUGGGGCUGAAGUAGGUCCCAAGGGUAUGGCUGUUCGCCAUUUAAAGUGGUACGCGAGCUGGGUUUAGAACGUCGUGAGACAGUUCGGUCCCUAUCUGCCGUGGGCGCUGGAGAAUUGAGGGGGGCUGCUCCUAGUACGAGAGGACCGGAGUGGACGCAUCACUGGUGUUCGGGUUGUCAUGCCAAUGGCACUGCCCGGUAGCUAAAUGCGGAAGAGAUAAGUGCUGAAAGCAUCUAAGCACGAAACUUGCCCCGAGAUGAGUUCUCCCUGAGACUUUAAGUCUCCUGAAGGAACGUUAAAGACGAUGACGUUGAUAGGCCGGGUGUGUAAGCGCAGCGAUGCGUUGAGCUAACCGGUACUAAUGAACCGUGAGGCUUAACCUU